CUGCGAGUGAGCGUGGAGUUGAGGCACAAGGGAGCGUAUAUGUUGUAGAUGUCGAGGUAAUAUGUAUCCAUGUCUAUUUGGUCGGACACCACCGCGCACUCCUCAGUCAUUACACUCGCAGACUCCGUCUUGAGAUCGCAGUUGCUCUUGAGUCUAGCCAAAGAAUCUUCGGAGAUCAAAGCAUGACUCUCGAAAAAGUCGUACAUACCCAUCAAGUCGGUCUCGUCGUUGAUCACCGCAUUUCCUAUCAGAAUGCCCUUGAGAUUGAAGAAGCUCCGGUGAUGGAGAAGGAUAGUAUGGGCAAGUUGCGGAACAUAGUGGCCGGCAUAGCUCUCACCGGCGAUGUACAAGUCCCUGCCUUUGUACUCCGGGAACCUCUCCAGCCAGUUAACCAGGAAGAUGUAGUUAUCAGCUGCGGUAUUCCUGUCCCCGUGCUUCUCCAGGUCCGACGUCGUGUUGGUG